rnacentral:rRNA from 1 species
CGCGGCCUAUCAGCUUGUUGGUGAGGUAACGGCUCACCAAGGCAUCGACGGGUAGCUGGUCUGAGAGGACGAUCAGCCACACUGGGACUGAGACACGGCCCAGACUCCUACGGGAGGCAGCAGUAGGGAAUCUUGCGCAAUGGGCGAAAGCCUGACGCAGCAACGCCGCGUGGGGGAUGAAUGCCUUCGGGUUGUAAACCCCUUUCAGCAGGGACGAAAAUGACGGUACCUGCAGAAGAAGCUCCGGCCAACUACGUGCCAGCAGCCGCGGUAAUACGUAGGGAGCGGGCGUUGUCCGGAAUUAUUGGGCGUAAAGAGCUCGUAGGCGGUUCAGUAAGUCGGGUGUGAAAACUCAAGGCUCAACCUUGAGACGCCACUCGAUACUGCUGUGACUUGAGUCCGGUAGAGGAGUGUGGAAUUCCUGGUGUAGCGGUGAAAUGCGCAGAUAUCAGGAGGAACACCAGCGGCGAAGGCGGCACUCUGGGCCGGUACUGACGCUGAGGAGCGAAAGCAUGGGGAGCAAACAGGAUUAGAUACCCUGGUAGUCCAUGCCGUAAACGUUGGGCACUAGGUAUGGGAUCAUAUCAACGGAUUCCGUGCCGUAGCUAACGCAUUAAGUGCCCCGCCUGGGGAGUACGG